AACGAACGCUGGCGGCAUGCCUAACACAUGCAAGUCGAACGAGACCUUCGGGUCUAGUGGCGCACGGGUGCGUAACGCGUGGGAACCUGCCCUUAGGUUCGGAAUAACUCCCCGAAAGGGGUGCUAAUACCGGAUAAUGUCUUCGGACCAAAGAUUUAUCGCCUUUGGAUGGGCCCGCGUUGGAUUAGCUAGUUGUUAGGGUAAAAGCCUACCAAGGCGACGAUCCAUAGCUGGUCUGAGAGGAUGAUCAGCCACACUGGGACUGAGACACGGCCCAGACUCCUACGGGAGGCAGCAGUGGGGAAUAUUGGACAAUGGGCGAAAGGCUGAUCCAGCAAUGCCGCGUGAGUGAUGAAGGCCUUAGGGUUGUAAAGCUCUUUUACCCGGGAUGAUAAUGACAGUACCGGGAGAAUAAGCUCCGGCUAACUCCGUG
rnacentral:rRNA from 1 species